UACGGAGGGUGCAAGCGUUAUCCGGAUUCACUGGGCUUAAAGGGUGCGUAGGUGGGCAGGUAAGUCCGUGGUGAAAUCUCCGGGCUUAACCCGGAAACUGCCAUUGAUACUAUCAGUCUUGAAUACCGUGGAGGUAAGCGGAAUAUGUCAUGUAGCGGUGAAAUGCUUAGAUAUGACAUAGAACACCAAUUGCGAAGGCAGCUUACUGCCCGAAUAUUGACACUGAGGCACGAAAGCGUGGGGAGCAAACAGG
rnacentral:rRNA from 1 species